AGUAAAUUCUUUGAAGACAGGACAAAGGUCAAAACGAUCAGAAGCUAAAAGCUUUUAACUGCAGCCAUUACUUCCAUUUCAUUUUAAGGAGAUCCACCAAGUGCCAGAGAGCUGGCUCACAGUAUGCCGUCUGUGUCAUACAGUGACACUGAAAUGCCACCGGCAGCAUUGUCAUUGUCACAGUGAAGAAGAUGCAGAAGGCUCCAGCUGGAUUUUAUCCCUUCCACGAGGAGCUGCUCCUUCAAGGACACCCUGGGGAUCAUCUCCAAUCAAGAACUGAAAAACCCUCGCCUAUGGCUCAUGUGGAGUCUGUGAAGAGGGGGGAAUGUGGGGAUUGGCAGGCAGAAAUUAGAGAGAAACCUGGAACUCUAUGAGUUGAUCUAGAAGAGUCCCGAGGUACAGCAGUAAGAGAGGCAGGUAAGUAGGGGGAACAAUAAUUCCCAGCAUAACUCCAUUUUUUUAAAAAUUCAAACCACCUGCAGGCGCUUUCUGAUUAUAGGUAUGUGUAUAUAUAUGCAAAUACACAGACAUCCCCCCCAAAAAAAAUGGUGGGGGAGGGUGGGGCCAUGCAGGAGGCAUAGGUAUCUUUCUUAGCAUUGGGAAAAUAAAAGUGACAGAUAUCAUUAAUAUCAAUAAUUAAAAUAAUAGGACGGGGCUGGAGAGCU